UUGCAGGAGGAGCUCGAGGCGCUGAAGGAUUUUGGGGGGAGCCCCGAGGACGAGGAGGAGGAAGAGGAAGUGGAGGAGGAAAAACAGGAAGUGGAGGAGGAAAANGGAGGAGGAAGAGGAAGUGGAGGAGGAAAAACAGGAAGUGGAGGAGGAAAAACAGGAAGUGGAGGAGGAAGAGGAAGUGGAGGAGGAGGAAGAGGAAGUGGAGGAGGAGGAAGAGGAAGUGGAGGAGGAAAAAAAAGAGAAAGAGGAAGUGGAGGAAAAACAGGAAGAAGAGGAAAAACAGGAAGAGGAAGUGGAGGAAAAACAGGAAGAGGAAGUGGAGGAAAAACAGGAAGAAGAGGAAAAACAGGAAGAGGAAGUGGAGGAAGAAAAGGAGGAAAAGGAGCCAGGUUGGUCGUUCUCAUUUCCAGUACCGAAUCCGAGGUUUUUUGCCCCAAAUUUCCGGCUGAAAUUUGAAUUUUUUUCUGCCUGAAAAUGGGUGGGAAUUGAAUGGUGGGGAAAUAAAAAAAAAAUGGAAUAAAAUGGAAUAAAAUAA
rnacentral:lncRNA from 1 species